rnacentral:rRNA from 1 species
AUUGAACGCUGGCGGCAGGCUUAACACAUGCAAGUCGAACGAGUGGCGGACGGGUGAGUAAUGCUUGGGAAUCUAGCUUAUGGAGGGGGAUAACUACGGGAAACUGUAGCUAAUACCGCGUACCAUAGGAUGAGCCCAAGUGGGAUUAGGUAGUUGGUGAGGUAAAGGCUCACCAAGCCGACGAUCUCUAGCUGGUCUGAGAGGAUGACCAGCACCUCGGGGACUGAUACACGGCACGGACGCCUGCUGGAGGCAGCAGUGGGGAAUAUUGCGCAAUUGUGGCCACCUGACGCAGCCAUUCCGCGUGAAUGAAUAAGGCCUGCUGGUUGUAAAGUUCUUUCGGUAGCGAGUCGUUAACUUCAGAAGAGGCACCGGCUAACUCCGGGCCAGCAGCCGCGGUAAUUC